rnacentral:rRNA from 1 species
CAGCCGCCGCGGGAAUACAGAGGGUGCGAGCGUUAAUCGGAUUUACUGGGCGUAAAGCGUGCGUAGGCGGCUUCUUAAGUCGGAUGUGAAAUCCCUGAGCUUAACUUAGGAAUUGCAUUUGAUACUGGGAAGCUAGAGUAUGGGAGAGGAUGGUAGAAUUCCAGGUGUAGCGGUGAAAUGCGUAGAGAUCUGGAGGAAUACCGAUGGCGAAGGCAGCCAUCUGGCCUAAUACUGACGCUGAGGUACGAAAGCAUGGGGAGCAAACAGGAUUAGAUACCCGAGUAGUCCCUGUCUCUUAUAC